rnacentral:rRNA from 1 species
GAACGCGAAGAACCUUACCAGGUCUUGACAUUGAUGGACAGAACCAGAGAUGGUUCCUCUUCUUCGGAAGUUAGAAAACAGGUGGUGCACGGUUGUCGUCAGCUCGUGUCGUGAGAUGUUGGGUUAAGUCCCGCAACGAGCGCAACCCCUAUCUUAUGUUGCCAGCACUUCGGGUGGGAACUCAUGAGAGACUGCCGCAGACAAUGCGGAGGAAGGCGGGGAUGACGUCAAAUCAUCAUGCCCCUUAUGACCUGGGCUACACACGUACUACAAUGGGAGUUAAUAGACGGAAGCAAUACCGCGAGGUGGAGCAAACCCGAGAAACACUCUCUCAGUUCGGAUCGUAGGCUGCAACUCGCCUACGUGAAGUCGGAAUCGCUAGUAAUCGCAGGUCAGCAUACUGCGGUGAAUACGUUCCCGGGUCUUGUACACACC